UACGGAGGGUGCAAGCGUUAUCCGGAUUCACUGGGUUUAAAGGGUGCGUAGGAGGGUUGGUAAGUCAGUGGUGAAAUCUCCGAGCUUAACUUGGAAACUGCCGUUGAUACUAUCAAUCUUGAAUAUCGUGGAGGUGAGCGGAAUAUGUCAUGUAGCGGUGAAAUGCUUAGACAUGACAUAGAACACCAAUUGCGAAGGCAGCUCGCUACACGAAUAUUGACUCUGAGGCACGAAAGCGUGGGGAUCAAACAGG
rnacentral:rRNA from 1 species